rnacentral:lncRNA from 1 species
UCUCAAACCCUAACUUCACCAAAUUGAUCAAUUGAAGGUUAAUCCUUGCCCCAAAUCGAAAUCUGAAUAGAGAUUCGUGAUCCUCAUCACAAGGGGGUUACAAGAAAAGCGGACUAUGUCCCAAUACGAGAACGGGCGCAGGAGCGUCAAGCGGACAAGCGGGCGGCGAACCACGUUUAAAAGGCCUACUUUGAAGGUAACAUGAUGGAUCUUGCGGAUGGCGAUCAAGCACAUGAUGAAGAACCGAACACUACAUUUUGAAGCUUCCGCAAUGUUUUAAAUCUUUAGUAGUCUUAUGUAUGGGUUGUAAACACUUGUUAAACUACUUUUGAAAUGUUUUAACCUAGUCAUUAGUUGACUAAGGUUGACGUACUUAU